GACGAACGCUGGCGGCGUGCUUAACACAUGCAAGUCGAACGGAAAGGCCCUGCGCUUGUGGGGUGCUCGAGUGCCGAACGGGUGAGUAACACGCGAGUAAACUGCCCUUGUCUUUGGGAUAACAUCACGAAAUUGGGGCUAUUAUCGCAUAGGAUCUCCUGCUCCACAGGGGGCGUUGGAAAGAGUCGGCGGUUGGGGAUGGACUCGCGGGUUACCCGCUUGUUUGGGGGGUAGGGGAUUACCAAGGGUUUGACGGGUAGCCGGCCUGAGAGGGUGACCGGCCACAAUGGGACUGAGAUACGGACCAGACGCGUACGGGAGGCAGCAGGGGGAAACAUUGCGCAAUGGGCGGGAGCCUGAUACAGCAACGCCCCGUGCGGGAUGACGGGCUUCGGGUUGUAAACCGCUUUCGCCUGUGACGAAGCGUGAGUGACGGUAAUGGGUCAAGAAGCACCGGCUAACUACGUG
rnacentral:rRNA from 1 species